UUCCAGCUUUGUAUGUUUCAGAGAUAAUUGCAAAAAUUCGAGGCAGCAUGAGCGUCAGCAUGAGGCGGCUAUUUAUCUGACGUUUCAUUUGGUAUUAAAUAUUUUUCAGUCGUAUUACAUCGAUGAAAUCGAGACUCGUAGAUAUAAUGGGUGAAUUGUUUGGAACAGAAAGUACACUGAUAACACAAAUUUUCAUCAUAAUUUUUUUGUAACAAAAGUAAUACAGAUUGGUAUUGGUAUUGGUCGUGGUAGUUUCUUUGGGUGGGGGGAUCUUUUACUUCGUAAUUGUCAACAAUUCUUCUAGUCUGAAUACGGCGGUUGUUUGGCAAUAAUAAAGUACAAGUGAUAAGAAAAAACUACCCCAACCAACAGCAAUACUAAUCUUUAUUAUCUUGUCAGAGGAAAAAGUCGAUGUAAACAUCGGCUUUUACAACAUUCCGAAGCCUGUCUUCUGAACAGAAUUCAAUAACUUAAAAAGUAUAAGUAGAAGAAAAAAAUGCUUCAGACAAAAGUUGCAAGACAUAGAGCUAAACAUAUGGUGGUUAUAUUUUUUUACGUUACAAGGAUAUUAUGAAGUUUUUAAAUGACAAUGGAUACUUUGCGUUUCGAUUCCAAUGUUAUAUAAAUAGAAGAACGGAAUUUAUUUGCAUAAAAUUAUGUGAAAUCAGAGCUACAUGCUUCGGAGAAUAUUUUCCCUUGUUAAAAAUCUGUAUAAAUAUAUUUAACAAUGAAUACAAAAUAAAAGUAUAAAUACGUGGGAAACUCGGAAUGUCUGUGGGGCAAUCUUUGAGCGUACUAAACAGUGAUUUGCACUGUAGCAGAUACAGUUGCUACAGAUACAGUGAUUUGCACUGAUAGCAGGGAGUUUGUAUAGUUGCGCCGAAACGAAAUCGGACACCAAUGUUCGUUACCUCUCACUUCAUCGCACUGUGUUUCGCUUAUGUGUAUUUGUGCGCGACUCGGCCAAUAACAAGGUCGUAACAAAACUGAGGCGUCAGUGCUACCAUCACCACCGGGCCGAGCGCCGCGAGUGAACGCUUUACAGUGGUGUUUUUUGACGAAAAACUGGCCAAAAUUCAUAAUUUCAUGCGAUUUUCAUAAAAGUUGGUAUACUUAGAUUUUUAGAGUUCCUAAAUCUGACUAUUCUGUUAAAAAUGCAAAAUUUAAAAUGGCGAAUCAAACAAAUUUGUUAAGAGAAAUUUGACCUGGCACAUUAAAGGAGCUUGAAUUUUCGAGACAUUAAGAGGCUUGAAAUUUCGUAAAGGUUGACGGUCUACAUCUCAAUAGUGGGGAUAGUGGGAAUCACCAAUACGUCAUCGGCCAGUUGACGUUACAGUCGGCGGCGCCGACAGAUAAUAUAACGGUAAGAAUUGCGUGUCGUCGUGCAACGGACUUCACGGAACUAAGAUCGAAUUGGAGUUGCAGGAAAAGAUACAGGAAAAAGUUACUUAGAAUUGCGUUCCCUACAACAUACCCAAAAAUCAAAAAUUGAUGAAUCUCAUUGCGCAAUGCCUGAUAAUUGUAGCGAUGUCUACCUCCUUGGAGGCAUUCAAAUUGCCAAUUGCUGUCUCGAGUAAGCUCGUGAAAGAUCUCCAGAAUAUCAUCGACUUAAUCCCUAUGGAUAAAUUCCUCCGACUGGUCAGGGCAUACACCAUUAAAGACCGGGAGUUCCAAACCAGCAUGUAUAUUUUGAGCAUGAGAGAUGUAGGAUCGCUUCUUUCGAACGACGUGCAGGAACCACAAGAGGCGGCCGAAUUGCUUAAUUUACCGGAAGAGAUCAUCCUCGAUAUCUACUAUUUAGUAGAUACUAUAAAUAUGUACGUCAACUUUGUGUAUGCUCAAGAACCCACUGAAUCGGAACUCCAAAUUACCGGUGGACUGGCUGGUUUCGAAAAAGACCUCGCAGCUCUGUUUCCUUCAGAGAAAAUAAACGCUCUGAUAGGGAAAGAGCAGAUGGCCUGUAACACCUUGAACGACUACUAUAACACUACGAACGGGCAGUCCGACAAAUCCAACUUAAUCACACACAUAGGAAAUCACUUCAGUGCUUCGGCCAGAACGGCCGAAAAGCAUGGUCUCGACGGCAGGUUAUUCGAGCAACUUCUCCCGGUGCUUUUCUUAAUCAGAACUUUUGCUAUUUAACAAAUGUUUUUAUCCUUGUUUUCUAAUAAAUAUAUGUAUGAUACAAUUGUGUGGAGGAUUAAUAACAAGAAGUCGCGUAUUUAACAAAAUGUAGAGAAUAGUUUAGUAAGUUAUGUGCAUAGUUUAUUGUACACAGUUUACUAGAGUAUAUCGUACAUAGUUUACUAGAUCAGACUAGAACAGGCUUUCGCGUAGCACUCUCUACCCGCCUUCUUUCAGACUGCCAUCAGUCUACCUUUAACCUUUUGCGUUCCUAUGUCGAACAUGACUCAACAGUAGAUUUAUUCGAAAGUGUGACAUUUUUUAAUUGUAUUAAGUUGUUAUACUAUUUUUAUAGUAUUGGUAAAAAGAAUUAUUUACAUUUCUUGCUAUUAACUAAUUGUCUUUCUAAAUACAUUUCAAGUAAAACACUGAAAGUAAUAAGAAUUAUGGAAGAGUAAAUGUGAAAGGAACUCGGAGUGCAAAGGGUUAAGGGCCCCACAUAUGCUGAAACAUGUGGCGAGGCAAGCGGCGAUUCCUAGGUUUCACAAUGCAAAUUGAGACAUACAGAGUGCAACUAAAUUGUUGCGCACAAAUGAUAGGGCGCGUACAACUUACGAAACUGAAUAAAAAAACCUCAGUGAACAUGGGUCCAAACUUAAAUAGUUUCCGAGAUAAAAAUAGGUUUAAUUUAAAAAGUAAUGUAUGAGGACCGAAUCAAGAACACCGAAUUAUCUCCAAAGUAUCAGUGAUACAAACAAAUGAAGGGGACAUUUCUAUAUUCUUACGCCCCGCACCAUCCCUCUCGAAGGAUGCAAAUCCACUGUUCGCACCACCGAAAGGGUGCCAUAAAAAGUAUACGUGGGAGACAGCGACCAGGCCUGGCGUUUUGGAGACAACGCAUGGGUUUUCCCCGGAGCUGAUGAAGGAAUAACGGAAUCGGCCUGCUGAGAGGAACCGGCCAAUUUCCCAAAGAACGACGUCAUUCUAACUACAGUUCUCGCUCUCGAUUGUGAGGUGACUUUGUAAUGUCCUGUAAAGGUCACGCCACAAUUCUUAAAUAAAACCCCAUAUGUUAUUAUUAAUAUUUUUAUUUAUAUUUAAAAUAUUCCCAUAUUUUUAAUUUAUAACAGAAGCCGAAAUUCAGACGUGUAAGGAAAUUUUACGUGCGUGACAAUGCCAUCAAAUGAAACGCAUGUAGCCUGUGUGGGCGAUGCUGAUGUAACCUGAUCCCGAAGAAUCAAGUCAACAUCCGGUCAACGGAAAAGUGCGUCGCAGCACUUGAAGGUGAUAUGGAUGCCGCCACUUCGAGUGUUACGGUAUUUUCCCCGUGAAUUACUUUACUUCGAAACUAGUACGGGCCGUAGCUAGUGUAAAAGAGGGAGAAAGAAAUUGACACGUUUUUUCUUAGCGUGGCGGAAUGCAACUACUGUAUUCUUAUACUGUUUUACAAAUGUUGGUAGCUGUGUCACACUAUGUAUGAGUUAGAAGCGCGUAACAUGUGUCGACAUUGGAUUGAGGAUCACAUUUAUUAAGAGCCCUAAUUUUGAAUCAAACAGUCGCACGUUCCACACCUUUUGACAGACAUUUCCAACGUAGUCUUUAAGUAUAAUCCUGAAUUCGCGUCUUUUGUAUACAGAUAUAUUCUAUCCAGUAGUUUUAGCUCAUUCGUUUUUAUUACAGACAUUUCCAAAUUAAAGACAUGAAAUUUUUCGCGUUAAUCGUUGUCAAGAUAUCAGCAUCCAAAGUUGUUGGUUUAUUGGUAGUGAUGGUGGCCGACGGACAUGGGAGAGUAAAGGAACGCAAUAUCCACGAUCCUUGUUUGUUGCAUGAUGGGUUUCCGUUUGAAAAUGUGAAUGACAUCAUUUAUCGAUCGAAACGUGGACUCACAGUUGAGAACGCAGUCAUCGCACCUGCUACCUUCCUUUACUCUCUCAUGCAUGACAGCAUUCCCUUGCCCCUCUGUCCACAAGUUGGAAGUUAGACUGUUCGUGGAUCACUAAUGUUACUGACGAACCGGCAACUUUGGAUCCUGAUAUUUUGAUUACGGCUUACAAGAAAAAUUUCAUGUCUAUGGUUCGGAAACGUUUGAAUGUCGGCUUCAAAAAUAUGGAAUACAAAAUAUGGGGUUCUAUUUAAGAAUUGUGGCGCGACCUUUGAAGGACGCUUCAAGGUCACGCCAUUGUCAAAUACCUCCUAUCGUGACAUGCAGUAUAUCGUAGCCUAUAACUUUUGUUUCACGCAUUUGUUCGUAUCACUGAUACUUUUCGAAAUGAUUCAGCGUUCUUGAUUCUACAUCUUGUAUAUAAUUUAUAUUUGAACUGUAAUAACAACAACUUCACAGAAUAUUUUCAACGUUUAGAGGAGGCUGUAAUGAACGACGUGGGCAGUGAGGCUCAUAAUGUAUCCAAAUUCGAUAUCUGCUAAUGCGAUACCAGCUUUCUCAGUUGCCGAACGCAGGUUCUUCAGGUGAUUGCUCUCGGCAAUUCUUUUGUAUGCUGGCAUAUACUUCCUUGAGAAUAUUUCAUUUGAAACCUCCAUUAAUAACCGGGAGUUAUCCCAUUUCUCUGCGGCCAGCGUCUGUAACUUCUCUUCUGGCAAUACCUCGAGUAGAUCAUCCUGAAGGCCACUAAUACCACCGCUGAUUUCGCGAUAGGUGGAGGAAGGUGUGAAGGCGUUCAUCUUCAGCGAUCUAUUCAGUUUGUUUAUGCAAAGAUGGAUGUCGAGACCAGCUCUCUGUAUAUAGCUUGCCAGCUGCCACAUCUCGGGCAUAUCUUCAAUUUCCUUGAUGAAUGCCACUGAAUCAGCUGAUAAUGCGAUCCUCAUCAUAGCCUGGACUUCUUCGUCUUGGGAAAGGUAUGUUUUAACGAUUUCAACAACGUCUGACAUAGGGACCAAAUCCAGGAAAUCUUGCAGCUCUUUGGCGAGCUCACCUGAGCCUGAAGCUGGAAUCUUGUAGGGGUUCACGGAGCUGGCAACUGCCAGGACUGUUAAAGUUACCAAUGCGAAUUUCAUCUGCGAAAGAAACAACAAACAUUUGUUGAACAAUAUGUAGAAUUUAUAGUUACGGUAAAAGUUAUUCUUACAAAGAAACCUUUCCAUCUAGCACACGCCGAUUGUAAUGAAACUCAUGUGAGAAAUAAUUCUCAAGAAAGUAUUUGACACGUAUUUUUUCUUAUCGGUCAACAUCCACUUUGACGAGUGAAACCAUCCCUUAAAGUUGAGGGUUGAAAGUAUAUUUUUUACAAUAUCUCUGAAACUAGGCAGUACAGAAAAAAAUUUCCUUUUUAAAAUGUUCGCCUCAACAUGAACAAUUUUUAGAUUUAUUUUCUGCGCUCCUAGUUUCAGGAAUAUUGUAAAAAAUAUAUUUUCUACCGUCAAUUCUAAUAGUUGUUUUACUCGUUCACAAUGAAUGUUGGCUGGUAAGAAAAAAUACGUGUCAAAUAUUUUCUUGAGAACUAUGUUUCGUAUAAGUUUCAACAAAAUCGGCGUGUGCUGGAUGGAAACGUUCUUUUAUAAGUUGGAUUGGAAACCGAGUGGAUGACUGCGUGUAUGGACCAGGGUAUGUCGCCAAAGUUAUGCAUGGGACUUGGGGGUGAUCGAGGAAGUGAGCGAGAGAGUGAGAGGAAGGGAUAGAACGAGUCAGGUAAACUGCAGGUCUGACGAGUGGCAGGCUACUGCUGGCGAUCAAGUCCAAGCGGCAAGACGACUCUUCCACUUGUGACGCAUUGAAAAUUUUCCGGACAAGUUCCACGUUCAGCCUAUGACGCAACCAUAGACCAUAGAUAAAGGUUACUCCCCAAAAGUAGUAUAUAAGGAACCCGAAUUUGUAACAUAGGCAGUCAUAUACCAAAUCUGUGCAUGAAUAAAUCGAAGUUCAACGAAACUAAUUUCUACAUCUUUUUUUCUGCGAAAUAAGUGUGAAAUAGUAAACCAAGAAGUUUUAAACUCUAGUUCGCUUAUACGUGACACACUCACGAUGUUCGGGUCGGCUUGGUCUUUGAUAGCGUCAUCGAUAUUAGCCGCGUCGCAGUACCAAAGGGCAAAAGCGAGACGGCAAGCAAUGGAGUUAGAUGUAACGAUAAAAAGAAAAAUUCUAGUGCCGUCAGCUUCGUUUUCUAUCGUUACAUCUCACUUCGUCGCAUUCAGUGCCGCUUUUGUUCUUUGUUACUGUGACGCAGCCAAUACCGACCAAAGAUGACCCGUUGAAGAUUGAGGCGGCCUGAACAUCGUGGUUGGAAGAGUCUUGACGUUCAGACUUGACCGCUCGCGGGUAGCCUGCCAUUUCAUUAGAGCCGUGCUUUAUUAUAUAAGGGUGACAACCUCUGGGCUUGAACGUUCUUGAGGCAAACUGGCUCCAAAUUUUCAAAAACUUCCAAAAAUGGUGGAAUCAAUGAAUGCACAAAGUUACCAAGGGCACAGUGGAAAAAACACAACACCACACCACACCAUAGACAGCAAGGACACUAAACCACACUUCAAAGUGAGAGGCAAAACCUCCAAAUACACACAAGGAAAAAUCUCAAAUCACCGCGAACUCUCAAAUCUAAUCAAAGAAAGAAAUAGAGCAAAAAGAAAUCGUCAAAAAAUAGCAAAUUCCUAUUGCAAAUUAUUAAAAAACAUUCUCACCCAUAAAAUCAGAAAUAGAAUCCAUUUCCUAAAAAAUAGGGGAUGAGAGGAAAAACUAAAAUUCCUAAAAUACAAAGACAACUCCUGCAAAACACACAAAAUGUUUAAACCUUCUAAAUAAAAAAUCUUUAACCUACAAGAUUCACAGAGCAGAAUCCAUAUAUCUGAUGAGAAAAGAGCAAACGUACUAGCCAACUACUUUGCCAAUAUCCACAACAGUACCUCUACCUCACCAUCACUGCACGAAACACAAACAAUCCAGCAUACAACUCACCUAAACAAUGCAACCCCAGAAACCCUAACAAUUAUCAUAUCUCUCGACCAAAUAAAAAACUCUUUAAGGAAAUUGGCCACUGGCCCAGAUAAACUAUCAGCCAUCAAACUCAAAAAUCUACCAAAUAAACUCAUCUGCCAAAUCUGCUACAUAUUUAGAGCCUCUUUAAAACUAUCUUACUUUCCCGACUUUUGGAAAAUCGCCAAAAUAUUUCCAAUCAACAAAACCCUGAAAAAACGGAAAAUCACCAGUUACAGAUCCAUCGGUUUUUUUAGUUUUCUAGGCAAAAGCCUAGAAAACCUUAUCCUCCAGGAAAUAACUAAAUAUCUAAAAGCAAAUAACACAAUCAUAAACGAACAAUUCGGAUUUAGACUCGAACACUCCUUCAUAAAUCAGGUUAUGAGAAUAACAGAUCUCAUUGCAGCAGAAUACAACAAAAAUAGAACUUCUGUUAUGGUCCUCUUGCAUCUGGAAAAAGCUUUUGACACAGUAUGGCACGACACUCUACUCCUGAAACUAAAAAAUAUACACCCUUCACAACUUGCAAAGAAUUCUCAAAAGUUACCUAGACAAUAGACACAUCAUAGUGUCAAUAAAAGGCACCUUAUCUUCCACAUUAUUAACCAUUUGCACAACAAUAACAAUAGUAUUUGCAACUUACAUGAAGAAACAUCUUGCACAAAUUAUGAGGCAGAAUUAUUCCAUUUCUGUUAACUUAACAAAUAACAAAUACUUCAGCACACAUCACCACCACAAAGGUGGUGAUAAACCCAGGAACCGGAAACCUCAUAAAAGGAAAACAAACAAGGAAAAAAAACGGGAGAAUUUCUUGAAAGUCAAUGAGAGAACGAGCAUUAUGUUUUAGCGAGU